UUCAAUACUGAACUUAACACUCAGUGUGCACUUCUCUCUUAGUAAGACGCCGUGAUCCAUUAGAAAUUGGUGGACACCAGUCCAUAUGAGGUCAUCAAUGAGCUCGUGCGAAGUUUAUCGGAACAAAUGGCGCGAUCCUUCAACGGUUGUGUGUAUUGUCUGGUAAGCGUGCGAGUACUCGCAAUGACUGUCUGAUGGAUUUUAAAGAUCAURUCACUGAUGUCUAGGCAUCACUCGCUUCGGCGAGAAUACGAUAUGUAUCCGAUCAACGGCGGUCAAAUUUGGGAUACCUUUUGGACCCGUCUUGAAACACGGACCAAGGAGUCUAUCUAAUGUGCGAGUAAAUGGGUAGCUUAUGAAACCUAUUUGCGCAAUAAACGUAACUAUUUUAUGGGAUUACGAGGCGAGUGUGUCUCUUCCAUCCCGGAGUAUUUUCAUCAACAUAUGCGCAAGCAUAUGGAAAAUAUAUCAUGAGCAUAUUGGAUACGACCCGAAAGAUGGUGAACUAUGCUUGAUCAGGUCGAAGUCAGGGGAAACCCUGAUGGAGGACCGAAGCAGUUCUGACGUGCAAAUCG
rnacentral:rRNA from 1 species